AACGAACGCUGGCGGCGCGCCUAAUACAUGCAAGUCGAGCGAGAAGACGUAGCAAUACGUUUGUAAAGCGGCGAACGGGUGAGGAAUACAUGGGUAACCUACCCUCGAGUGGGGAAUAACUAGCCGAAAGGUUAGCUAAUACCGCGUACGCUCCUUGGACUUCGGUUCAGGGAGGAAAGCGAUACCGUGGGUAUCGCGCUCUUGGAUGGGCUCAUGUCCUAUCAGCUUGNGGUGAGGUAACGGCUCACCAAGGCUUCGAUCAGUAUCCGGCCUGAGAGGGCGGACGGACACACUGGGACUGAGACACGGCCCAGACUCCUACGGGAGGCAGCAGUGGGGAAUUGUUCGCAAUGGGCGCAAGCCUGACGACGCAACGCCGCGUGGAGGAUGAAGAUUUCGGAUCGUGAACUCCUGUCGAAUGGGACGAAAAGAUU
rnacentral:rRNA from 1 species